UACGUAGGUGGCGAGCGUUGUCCGGAUUUACUGGGCGUAAAGGGAGCGUAGGCGGACUUUUAAGUGAGAUGCGAAAUACUCGGGCUCAACUUGAGUGCUGCAUUUCAAACUGGAAGUCUAGAGUGCAGGAGAGGAGAAUGGAAUUCCUAGUGUAGCGGUGAAAUGCGUAGAGAUUAGGAAGAACACCAGUGGCGAAGGCGAUUCUCUGGACUGUAACUGACGCUGAGGCUCGAAAGCGUGGGGAGCAAACAGG
rnacentral:rRNA from 1 species